GGGUACAUUUUUUUUUUUUUUUGGUGGGGGGAGGAGGGUCAAUUCGCAACAGUAAAGUGUAUUGCACAAAAGCAAAAAAUUGAAUAUGAAUUCAAAUCAUAUAACCAAUUCUAAGUUCUUUGACUAUAGUUAUUCUGUGUCAGAAACCUUUUAUGUGUCAAAUAUUUAAUUACAAUCCAAAUUCAGACCUGUAUCAAGCGCGAAUAUUGCGUCCAUUUUUGCCCCAACUGUUCAGGGUUGGACCUCUGCGGUCGUAUCCAGCUGCGCUCAGCGAAGCAAUUUAGUGUGUAAUUAUUUUAAAAGGACUUUGCAAUAUAUGAAAGAAAAAAAUGCUAGAAUAAAUGUACAAGUGCUUCAGCUGAUGAGUCACAAUUCUCAAGUUAGUUGAUCAAUUUUGUUAAAAAAAAAAGUGAACCCGUCAAAGGAAAUUUGUUAUAAAGACCUUAUUGAACAUGUCUUUAGUCAUUGUAAUAAAGAAUGUUAGAAGACUAAAUUCUCUAUAAACAAAAUUUUGUAAACACACACUAAAUUUGUUUGCCUUCAGAAUUUUCUGAGAACAAAAAAAGAUACAAUUACUAAACAAAAAGUCAAUGCUGUUUAUUUAAAAUUUUAUGAUUGAUAUCAAUUUACAUAUUAAAAACAAAAUAUUUUGUGUAUAACCUUUGAUACUUUUUUUUUAUUCUUUAAAUUUUAAGCUUAAUUGCAUAUCUGCAUAUUUAUUGAUUUCAAAAACAAUAUAUCUUAGAUUUUACAGUGUUCCAGUGUGUCCAGGGUGCUAAUCUCAAAAGGCCAUUUUAGUGUAUUAAAACUGAAUUUAAAAAAAAGGUCACAUUAUCAUGUAAAUGAAUUGGAUAAUUGCAUUUUAUAGUGAUAAAUAAUUUGAAAAAAUGCAACAUUAAUUGUUGACGUUUUUAUACGACCGCAAACAAAAUUUUGUGGUCGUAUAUUGGUAUGACGUUGGCGUCGUCGUCGUCGUCGUCCGAAGACACAUUAGUUUUCGCACUCUAACUUUAGUUUAAGUGAAUGGAUCUCUUUGAAAUUUUACCAUAAGGUUCAAUACCACAAAAGGAAUGUGGGGAUUGAUUUUGGGGGUUAUGGUACCAACAGUUAAGGAAUAAGGGGCCAAAAAGGGGCCAAAAAUAAGCAUUUUUGUAACUUCCAGACAUAACUUGUGUGUAAGUGUAUAGAUCUCUCUGACAUUGUACCACAAGGUUCCAUAUCACAAAGGGAAUGCUGGGAUUGAUUUUGGGGGAAAUUGCCUCCAAAUUUUAGGAAUUAGGGGCCAAAAAGGGACAAAAAACAAGCAUUUUUCUAGUUCUUGACAAUAACUUGUGUGUAAGUGUAUGGAUUUUUAUGAAAUUGUACUACAAGGUUCCAUAUCACAAAGGGAAAGCUGGAAUUGAGUUUGGGGGUAAUUGCCCAAAAAGUUUAGGAAUAAGGGGCCAAAAAGGGGCCAAAAAUAAGCAUUUUUCUAGUUUCCAGACAAUAACUUGUGUUCAAGUGUAUGGAUUUCUCUGAAAUUGUACUGCAAGGUACCAUACCACAAAGGAAAGGCUGGGAUUGAUUUUGGGGGUAAUUCCCUCAAAAUUUUAGUAAUUAA